rnacentral:rRNA from 1 species
CACUAAGCGGAGGAAAAGAAACUAACCAGGAUUCCCCUAGUAACGGCGAGUGAAGAGGGAAAAGCCCAGCACCGAAGCCUGUGGCAGUUUUGCUGCUAGGCAAUGUGGUGUUUAGGUCGGCUCGUGGGAUCGCCACUCCACUCGAAGUCCAGCAUUGAGUAUGGUUCCCAGGAAUUGGCCCAUAGAGGGUGAAAGGCCCGUACGAGUGGAAGUGUCAGAUGUGUAAGGCGAUUCACCAGGCCGGCCUUAGAGUCGGGUUGUUUGCGAAUGCAGCCCAAAGCGGGUGGUAAACUCCAUCCAAGGCUAAAUACUAGCACGAGUCCGAUAGCGAACAAGUACCGUGAGGGAAAGUUGAAAAGUACUUUGAAGAGAGAGUAAACAGUACGUGAAACCGCAUAGAGGUAAACGGGUGGCGUCAAGCUGCAAGCCCAGAGAAUUCAGUCGGUCAGGGUGUGUGCCCAGGGAGUUUGGCUAGUCCGCCGGUAAAUGGCGGGCCCAGCUGUCAAAGGCUGGGAUUUGCGUACCGGGAGGUAGCCGGAACUUGCUAGCCAUCUGUUGGACUGUCUGGCCGAUGCACUUUCUCUGUUGGUGAACACCACGACCGGUGGUACUGCCAGUCUGCUGUGGCCAGCUUCAUUGCACGCCUCGGUGUGUGAUGAUCACAGACAAUUUCAGUGCACGGUGCUCGUUUGUUUCUUGCAGACGGGCAUGUUAUCGGGUACUGGUUGUAAACGGGUCGGCCUGUCGACUUGACUGUAGUCGGAGUUGGCGGGUGACUCGGUGGGCUAUGGUGGUAUGAAUAACUGUGCAGGGCACCGGAGUUUUCGGUCCGAUGGUGAUCGCUUGCGAUUGCCGCCGGCUGCGCACGUCCUGCAGUUUAGCGUGUGUUGUGUGUGUGCAGCACAGAUGGCGCUGCUACUGCCUGCCAGUCGUUGGGUCUGAUUGUCGUGUCGCCUGCCAAAAUGGCGGGUCCGGCAGUGGCCUGGCGGUGGAUGGUGUUAGUGGACGGCGUUGUCAUAGUGCAGCCGGUCGAUGGGCCAGAUAGUCUGUGGUGUAGUGGUAGACGAGCUACCCGACCCGUCUUGAAACACGGACCAAGGAGUUUAACAUGCGCGCGAGUCAUUGGGUAGUACGAAACCCAAAGGCGCAGUGAAAGUGAAGCCUCGACAUAUAUUGUUCUCGGGGUGUGGUGAGAUCCCGCUGUUUCUCGCACACAGCUGUCCAGCUAGACGAGCAGUGGGCGCAUCACCGGCCCGUCCCAUGAUGUGGCUAUUUGUCGGUGGCAGCCUAUGCCAUUGUCGGCUCUCGGGUCGGCGGUGGUGGUUGUCGUUCUGGCGAGUACGUCAUCGGGGCGGAGCAUGAGCGCGCAUGUUGAGACCCGAAAGAUGGUGAACUAUGCUUGCGUAGGUUGAAGCCAGAGGAAACUCUGGUGGAGGACCGCAGCGAUUCUGACGUGCAAAUCGAUCGUCAAACGUGAGUAUAGGGGCGAAAGACUAAUCGAACCAUCUAGUAGCUGGUUCCCUC